rnacentral:misc_RNA from 1 species
GAUGAAGAACGCAGCGAAAUGCGAUAAGUAAUGUGAAUUGCAGAAUCUCGUGAAUCAUCGAAUCUUUGAACGCACAUUGCGCCCUAUGGUAUUCCGUAGGGCAUGCCUGUCUGAGCGUCAACUCCCACCCUCUCAAGUCUUCUUUUUUGUUAAGGAGAUUUGGAUUACUUUGAGGAAGUAUCGUUUUUUUUUUAUAAUGCUACUCCUCAGAAAUUCAUAGGCAGUAUGGUCAAACCUGAACCAGGCGUAAUAAUUCUAUAAAAAUCGUCUAUGAAGGAAUGUCUGUAUUAGCCUUUAACCCCCCCUAAUUUAUUUUACUUGGGUGACCUCAGAUCAGGUAGGGAUACCCGCUGAACUUAAGCAUAUCAAUAAGCGGAGGA